rnacentral:rRNA from 1 species
GCCCUACGGAGGCAGCAGUGGGGAAUAUUGGACAAUGGGCGCAAGCCUGAUCCAGCCAUGCCGCGUGAGUGAUGAAGGCCCUAGGGUUGUAAAGCUCUUUCACCGGUGAAGAUAAUGACGGUAACCGGAGAAGAAGCCCCGGCUAACUUCGUGCCAGCAGCCGCGGUAAUA